rnacentral:rRNA from 1 species
GUCCACGCCGUAAACGGUGGGCACUAGGUGUGGGACUCAUUCCACGAGUUCCGUGCCGUAGCUAACGCAUUAAGUGCCCCGCCUGGGGAGUACGGCCGCAAGGCUAAAACUCAAAGGAAUUGACGGGGGCCCGCACAAGCGGCGGAGCAUGCGGAUUAAUUCGAUGCAACGCGAAGAACCUUACCUAGGUUUGACAUAUACCGGAAAGCUGCAGAGAUGUAGCCCCCGCAAGGUCGGUAUACAGGUGGUGCAUGGCUGUCGU